CCUACGGGUGGCAGCAGUGGGGAAUAUUGGGCAAUGGGCGCAAGCCUGACCCAGCAACGCCGCGUGAAGGAAGAAGGCUCUCGGGUUGUUAACUUCUUUUCUUAUGGACGUAGCAAGUUGCGGUACCUGAGGAAUAAGUCACGGCUAACUACGUGCAAGCAGCCGCGGCAAUACGUAGGUGGCAAGCGUUAUCCGGAUUUACUGGGUGUAAAGGGCGUGUAGGCGGGACUGCAAGUCAGAUGUGAAAACCAUGGGCUCAACCUAUGGCCUGCAUUUGAAACUGUAGUUCUUGAGUACUGGAGAGGCAGACGGAAUUCCUGGUGUAGCGGUGAAAUGCGUAGAUAUUAGGAGGAACACCAGUGGCGAAGGCGGUCUGCUGGACAGCAACUGACGCUGAGGCGCGAAAGCGUGGGGAGCAAACAGGAUUAGAUACCCUGGUAGUC
rnacentral:rRNA from 1 species